rnacentral:rRNA from 1 species
CAAUAGCGUAUAUUAAAGUUGUUGCAGUUAAAAAGCUCGUAGUUGGAUUUCUGGUUGAAGCGACCGGUCGGGCGUUGAUUCGUCUGCACUGGAGUCGGUUUUGGCCAUCCUCUAGGAAAGUGCGUCUGGUAUUAAGUUAUCGGGCGUAUGAUCCUGGUCUUUUACUGUGAAAAAAUUAGAGUGUUUAAAGCAGGCCUUCGCCUUGAAUACAUUAGCAUGGAAUAAUAAGAUAGGACUUUGGUCUAUUUUGUUGGUUUGCAGACCGAAGUAAUGAUUAAUAGGGAUAGUUGGGGGUAUUUAUAUUCCGAUGUCAGAGGUGAAAUUCUUAGAUUUUCGGAAGAUAAACUUAUGCGAAAGCAUUUACCAAGGAUGUUUUCAUUA